UUGAUCCUGGCUCAGAACGAACGCUGGCGGCAGGCCUAAUACAUGCAAGUCGAGCGCACCUUCGGGUGAGCGGCGAACGGGUGAGUAACGCGUGGGAAUGUGCCCUUCUCUGCGGAAUAGCCAUUGGAAACGAUGAGUAAUACCGCAUACGCCCUUCGGGGGAAAGAUUUAUCGGAGAAGGAUCAGCCCGCGUUAGAUUAGGUAGUUGGUGGGGUAAUGGCCUACCAAGCCUACGAUCUAUAGCUGGUUUUAGAGGAUGAUCAGCAACACUGGGACUGAGACACGGCCCAGACUCCUACGGGAGGCAGCAGUGGGGAAUCUUGGACAAUGGGGGAAACCCUGAUCCAGCCAUGCCGCGUGAGCGAUGAAGGCCUUAGGGUUGUAAAGCUCUUUCACCGGGGAAGAUAAUGACGGUACCCGGAGAAGAAGCCCCGGCUAACUCCGUGCCAGCAGCCGCGGUAAUACGGAGGGGGCUAGCGUUGUUCGGAAUUACUGGGCGUAAAGCGCGCGUAGGCGGGCUGUUAAGUCGGGGGUGAAAUCCCGGGGCUCAACCCCGGAACUGCCUCCGAUACUGGCAGCCUAGAGUUCUGGAGAGGUGAGUGGAAUUCCGAGUGUAGAGGUGAAAUUCGUAGAUAUUCGGAGGAACACCAGUGGCGAAGGCGGCUCACUGGCCAGACACUGACG
rnacentral:rRNA from 1 species